UCGGGAGUCACGGAAUAGGUCUCAGCAGGUUAAGAGCCGUGUACCUACGCACAGCAGAAUGCUGUGAUUACAGCAGAUCCUAUUUCACUGAUUCCGAGUAAACAGCAAACAGUUGACUAUGUCUGCCUCACUGCUGCUGAUGGGACCCAUGCUCUGCAGAAAGAACAGUGCUGGGACUCCCAUAGGACUUCCACAUUGCUUAUAUUUUAGGAAGGGAGAGAGUUGGAGACUUAAGACAUAUGAACAGUAAACUGGAGAAUGACUUCCAGCUAAGAGAGCAGCUGGGAGACCUUGACAGAAUGGUAAAAGUCCAAGAGCUUGUUACUGACACAGUUUUGAGGAUGCCAGCUACUUCUUCAAAUUGACAGUGAGUGGUGUCCUACUUUAUGAGG
ensembl:lncRNA